GAGUUAUGUCCACUAGCCGCUGCAGGUUUUCUCAUACAUCUUAUACCCCAAACCGAGCUGGCUUGUAAAAAAUCCUCUAUAGCUAGAAUAUUAGGUCGAUUCGAAGUCGAAGAGAAAAUCAACACUGCAAUUAGACUGUGGCUGUCUAACACAAGAAUCUGUUAAUCUAAUCACAAAACAGCAAUCUCCAUCUAUAAGAAUCAAGAUAAAAGUCCAACAAUAUUAGGUUGAUCCACAGUCCACAAGAGUGCACAGUAUAAUUAGACUCCACACAGUCCAAUACAAGAAUCUGGAUCCUAACUAAAUGAAUAGCAAAUUUCAUAAAAAUAGAAAUAAAAAAAGACUUGGUUUUGUAUUCUUUACCUGUUUGGCUUCAUUGGAUAAAUCUGAAGCAUAAGGGAAGGCAAGAAUGACAGCUGAGUCCCCCAUGCUAUACCAGGUUGAGAAGAAACCUUCAACGUUUGGAAAACAGAAUCAGAGAAAAAAUCUGAACUUUUGUUUUAGCUUUUUUAUGGCUUAUAAGUUAUUUCAAAUUUGAAAUUCAAAACGAAAAGAAAUAGACAAACGUUGUAAACAAAGUAGGCCACAGAAGGUAUGCUGCCAAUUGUUCAAUUCUUGGUUGUUGCUUCUUCUUUUCAAACUGCAAUGGUCCACUUUAUUUGAAAAUAAUUGAUUUUUUAAGCUUCUACUUUUUUAUUUUUAU
rnacentral:lncRNA from 1 species